UUUACCCUGGCAGCAUAUGGGUGAAAACGCUGGAGGAGAAAGUCAUCACUUUGUUAUUGGCCCUUGGACUCCCCUGGCAUCUCGUGUACAGCAUUACUUUUUCAGCUAUGAAGAUUUCCAGAGACUCCAGAAUGAAAACCAAACUCUGAGGGAGGAGAACCAAGCCCUGAGGGAAAGCAAUGCACGAGCAGCUUCGGAUGACAGCGGCUCACUUCAAGAGCAGGUGAAGCUAUUUGGGACAAUGUUGAAGAUGUUUGCUCGCACUGGGCAAUCAGGUGUGUUACGCGUUACCUGAAAGGAGCAUCUGACUGUGAAGGCGGAAAAAGGCGCCGCACAGCUGAGAGGGACCCACAGUCGACCCCUUAAACCUAGGCUGACUACUGACACCCCAGCAUCACUGACAACUGGAACACAUUCUUUAUCCUGCAGUCAGUAACAUCAAGAAGCCAGAAGUGCCAGACUACACUCAUCAAAUCCACCCUGUUCACUGUGGAAAUUAUUUCAUUCCGUCAGUGCUUAACGAUUCUAUUAUAGUUUGUAAAUCCUAUUUCAUACCUGUUACUUGAUAUUGCACAUUAACUAGUACCAAAAUUCUACUUACUCUGUUUUUAACAUGAGCUUUUUUCAUUCCGUCACAAUGCUUAACUGUUAUUCUAUUGUUAAUAUAGCUUGUAAAUCCUUGUGCCACAGGUCAGCAUUGCAGUUAUAAUGGUCUAUUCUACUGUUUUUACCUCAGCAUUUUUUAUAUAUAUAUGUCAAGUUUUGUUUAUCACAGAUUCAAGAGACACAGAUCUUAUUGCAGCACAGUGUAAAUCUUGUGCCCCAGGUCAGCAAUGCCAGUAUAAUGGUCUAUUCUACUCCAGAGCUCUACUCUAAAUUAUUACCACUUAAUUAUUACCAUCCUAUUGUUAGAAAUGGCUUGAAAAUGUGAUGUUAUACCCCGAUUUAUUUGGUAUCCUGCACAUUCUGUGGUACCAAAUAUCCUCAUUACUUGUUAUGUUUACUGACAAUUAUUUUCAUUCCAGAGCUGACCUCUUUAUAUUAUUAACAAUUAUUGUGUUUCAUUUUGUGUUAUAAUUUGCUUGUACGUUUUUUUUUUACCGA
ensembl:lncRNA